rnacentral:rRNA from 1 species
AGCAGUGGGGAAUAUUGGACAAUGGGCGAAAGCCUGAUCCAGCCAUGCCGCGUGUGUGAAGAAGGUCUUCGGAUUGUAAAGCACUUUAAGUUGGGAGGAAGGGCAUUAACCUAAUACGUUAGUGUUUUGACGUUACCGACAGAAUAAGCACCGGCUAACUCUGUGCCAGCAGCCGCGGUAAUACAGAGGGUGCAAGCGUUAAUCGGAAUUACUGGGCGUAAAGCGCGCGUAGGUGGUUUGUUAAGUUGGAUGUGAAAUCCCCGGGCUCAACCUGGGAACUGCAUUCAAAACUGACUGACUAGAGUAUGGUAGAGGGUGGUGGAAUUUCCUGUGUAGCGGUGAAAUGCGUAGAUAUAGGAAGGAACACCAGUGGCGAAGGCGACCACCUGGACUAAUACUGACACUGAGG